AUUGAACGCUGGCGGCAGGCCUAACACAUGCAAGUCGAACGAGUGGCGGACGGGUGAGUAAUGUCUGGGAAACUGCCUGAUGGAGGGGGAUAACUACUGGAAACGGUAGCUAAUACCGCAUACCCUCGGAUGUGCCCAGAUGGGAUUAGCUAGUAGGUGGGGUAAGGGCUAACCUAGGCGACGAUCCCUAGCUGGUCUGAUAGGAUGACCAGCCACACUGUAACUGAGACACGGUCCCGACUCCUAUGGGAGGCAGCAGUGGGAAAUAUUCAUCAUUGGGCGCAAGCCUAAUGAAGCCAUGCCGCGUGUAUGAAGAAGGCCGUCGGGUUGUAAAGUACGUUCAGCGGGGAGGCGGUACCCGCAGAAGAAGCACCGGCUAACUCCGUGCCAGCAGCCGCGGUAAUUA
rnacentral:rRNA from 1 species